CCGCGGUAGUACGGAGGGUGCAAGCGUUACUCGGAAUCACCUGGGCGUAAAGAGCGUGUAGGGCGGGUAUAUUAAGUCAGAAGUGAAAUCCAAUAGCUUAACUAUUGAACUGCUNUUGAANCUGUAUACCUNGAAUGUGGGAGAGGUAGAUGGAAUUUCUGGUGUAGGGGUAAAAUCCGUAGAGAUCAGANGGAAUNCCGAUUGCGAAGGCGAUCCUACUGGAACAUUAUUGACGCUGAGACGCGAAAGCGUGGGGAGCAAACAGGAUUAGAUACCCUGGUAGUCCACNCCCUAAACGAUGCACACUAGUUGUUGUGAGGCUCGACCUUGCAGUAAUGCAGUUAACACAUUAAGUGUGCCGCCUGGGGAGUACGGUCGCACAGUUAAAUCUCAAAGGAAUUGACGGGGA
rnacentral:rRNA from 1 species